rnacentral:rRNA from 1 species
AACGAACGCUGGCGGCAUGCCUAACACGUGCAAGUCGAACGAGACCUUCGGGUCUAGUGGCGCACGGGUGCGUAACGCGUGGGAACCUGCCCUUAGGUUCGGAAUAACUCCCCGAAAGGGGUGCUAAUACCGGAUAAUGUCUUCGGACCAAAGAUUUAUCGCCUUUGGAUGGGCCCGCGUUGGAUUAGCUAGUUGGUAGGGUAAAAGCCUACCAAGGCGACGAUCCAUAGCUGGUCUGAGAGGAUGAUCAGCCACACUGGGACUGAGAUACGGCCCAGACUCCUACGGGAGGCAGCAGUGGGGAAUAUUGGACAAUGGGCGAAAGCCUGAUCCAGCAAUGCCGCGUGAGUGAUGAAGGCCUUAGGGUUGUAAAGCUCUUUUACCCGGGAUGAUAAUGACAGUACCGGGAGAAUAAGCUCCGGCUAACUCCGUG